CGUCCGCCUAGAGAACGAUGGCCGGGCUCUUCGUGAUCCCGCUAGCGCUAAUCAGCACGGCAGUGGCUUGUACGUUUGAGGAGUCGUCCUUCAACCUCACUGGGAUCGUCUGCAGGAUGACCAAGCCAGCGGCAUUAUGAACCAGCAAACAGCUCAGGUAAUCCAAGCAGCAUUCAGACAUGCCACCUACCCCGAUAUCAGUGGGGAAAAGUCCAUGGCGUUUCUUGGCAAAGUGGCCUACGGGUUAACGAACAUCCAGAUCAACGACUUGUCCAUAGAAAACAGCGAGGUCGAUUUUAAGGAAGACGAUGCCAUAGACAUUGCAAUUCAGAAUGUGACAGCGUCCUUCAAAGGGACCCUGAGUUAUGGCUACACCGGGGCUUGGUUGGUGAAACUCACCCACUCCAUUGAUUUUGAAAUCGAAUCCUCAAUUGAUCUCCAGAUCAACGCCAAACUGACAUGUGCAAAGGGCCGGGUGGCAGCCGAUACCUCGGAUUGUUACCUGAUGUUCUAUAAGCUGACGCUCCAUCUCCAGGGAGACAAACAGCCAGGGUGGCUAAAACAGCUCUUCACAAACUUCAUCUCCUUUACCUUGAAGCUCGUUCUAAAAGGCCAGGUGUGUAAUGAAAUUAACUCUCUGGCUCAGCUGCUGGCAGAUUUUAUACAGGACAGAGCAGCAAAUUUCCUCCAGGAUGGGCCUAUAGGAGUAGAUAUUUCACUGGCUUCGUUUCCAGUAAUAAAGGCAAACUACAUGGAAUCGCAUCAUAAGGGUCUGCUUUUGUACAAGAACUAUUCAGUCAUCUUCAAUGACUCCAUGUUUGCUCCAUCUCUGCUCUCCGAGUCCAGGAUGCUCUACUUCUGGUUUUCAGACCAGGUCCUGAACUCUCUGGCCUUGGCAGCUUUCCUGGAUGAACGUCUGGUGUUAACGAUCACAGGGGAAGAGUUAAGGGAGAUGUUUGAAAUGGAAGACACGGAGGCUCACCAAGGGAUUGUGCAAGAGAUUUUUCAAGGCACGUCUUAUAAUGACUCGCUGGCUAAGGUCUGGAGUCUCACCCCUCCCCAAAUUACCCUCCAGCCUGAAGGGACAAUUGUGAAGUCAUCUGUUGCCGUGGAACUCAGCAUUUUUUCCCAAGGGGCAGAGCCCACCGUGGUGUUAUAUUUUGAGAAGGAAGUCACUGUCACAAUCCAGUCUGCGUAUGUAGAAAAGAAACUGGUUUUGCAUCUCGCUGACUCUGUAAUAGAGCCUAAAGUUUUUAAAUGUGCUUUGGAGAGAGCUGAGGAUGACAGAUCUCUAAGGCACUUCCUGCAGAAAAUCAUCUCAGUUGCGGGAAUCCCAGAAGUGAUUUCAAGUGAGUUUAUGCUCCAGAGAAAGUUCUGGCAGAACAUGCAACAUCAGUUGUGUUUUCGAACAGCCAUUUGAAGUGGUUGCAAGUUGUUUCUAAUUGUUCCAUAGUUGCUGUUCAGAAAUGAGUUGUUUUCCAUGGAAAAUUUUGACUUUAUGGUAAAAAAUCAAAAAAUGAAAUAUUUUGAUUAGGAAACACUGCAUGGGAGUUGUAGUUUGGGUGCUUCCUCUAAGGUUGGAUUACACUGACCAUGAUGCACCCUUCUCUUCUUGGUGCAGAGAAGUGGUGCAUCAUGGGAGCCCCUAGCUGUAGUGCAUCAUGGGAGAUGCUCUAAACCCCCUUAGCCUCUAUGUAAAAUCUUCCAUUUAGUGACCAUGGACCCAGUACAUGGGGCAGUACCUGGUAUGGUAUCUGAGGCAGCACUAACGUGGUUAAAUAAAAAUAAAGUGGCCAGUAGAGUGGUGUGAAAAAAGUCACAUCAUUGGCAAACCUGGCACAAAACUGAGGUCCCCUUAGAUUCAGUGUAUCACUGAUUGAUUCACAAUGCACUUUCAUCAGACUCAUGAAAAAAAAUCACACUCUGGUGUGUUUCAUUUGUUCAUGUUUUCCAGCAUGUCAGAAGCUCCCGUGGUGCAUGUGUGUGUUUCAAAGGCACAAUCUAAUGUUCAUCCCCAUGUGGGAUCCACUUUCCUAUUCACCAAGAUGAAAAACUGUCUUCCCUUGUGCAAGUGCAAAGUGGCCCUGGUGAAAAGAGGAUCAAGGCCCAGUGCACAAAUGUUGGCACUUCAAAGCAGUGGCAUUGUGGAAACGGGCCCAUUGUGUGAAAAUAGGGACAAUUGAAGUUCAUGGGAUCUCAGAGAUACCACACCCAGCCCGGGAAGUUUGCCUUUCUACUAUGCAGUCAGACAGUCUCACCAAAUGCGUUUAUUGUUGAGGGAAUAGCAAACCACCCUUAGUGGACCGAUAACGGAUGGUUGUAUUGAUUUCAUAGGGAUCGAACCAGCUUUAACGUCUCUGAUGAACAGCAAAGGACUCAAUCUAUUUGAAAUUAAAAAUCCUGAGAUCAUCACAAAGGAGGGAUACCUAAUUAUACAGCUGGACUUUGGCUUCCCGCAUCAUUUGCUUGUAGAUUUUCUUAAGAAAACAUUAUAGAAGGAAUCCAUUCGUAAAGGAGUGUUGGGAUUGAUUGUACAAAUAGAAAGAAUGCAUAUGACCCAAUGAAAUUAUGUCCCUUUUGGGGGUCAGCUUUCCUAUAUUCCAGCCAUUAAAAGAGAGAUUGAUUUUAGCAAGAAAUCCUCUGGCUUUUAUGGACACCUCUCUCUGAUGAAUUCCUGCUAAACGUGGAUGCUGAAGUCCAUAGCCAAAGCUACGUCUUGUUGCUUUAAAAGUCUUAGGUGAUUCUCUGUGCUUAUGAAAGUGAACAACUAAGUCAGUGGGUUUGGAUCAGGCCCUACUCCCUAGUGCCAGGC